GAACCGUGCGAACGUUGUUCGGAUUCACUGGGCUUAAAGGGCGCGUAGGCGGUGCGACAAGUCGGGGGUGAAAUCUUUCGGCCCAACCGGAAAAGGGCCCCCGAUACUGGCGCGCUGGAGGGAGGUAGGGGCAUGUGGAACUCCAGGUGGAGCGGUGAAAUGCGUAGAUAUCUGGAGGAACGCCGGUGGCGAAAGCGACGUGCUGGACCUUCUCUGACGCUGAGGCGCGAAAGCUAGGGGAGCAAACGGGAUUAGAUACCCCGGUAGUCCUAGCCCUAAACGAUGGGUACUAGGUAGUGGACUUGACAUGGGUUCACUGCCGAAGCAAAAGUGUUAAGUACCCCGCCUGGGGAGUAUGGUCGCAAGGCUG
rnacentral:rRNA from 1 species